rnacentral:rRNA from 1 species
ACGCUCGACACCUACGGGAGGCAGCAGUGGGGAAUAUUGCACAAUGGGGGAAACCCUGAUGCAGCGACGCCGCGUGAGCGAAGAAGUAUUUCGGUAUGUAAGGCUCUAUCAGCAGGGAAGAAACUGACGGUACCUGACUAAGAAGCACCGGCUAAAUACGUGCCAGCAGCUGCGGUAAUCUGAGCGGGCUGGCAAGGC